rnacentral:rRNA from 1 species
AUUGAACGCUGGCGGCAUGCUUUACACAUGCAAGUCGGACGGCAGCGGGGGUGCUUGCACCUGCCGGCGAGUGGCGAACGGGUGAGUAACAUAUUGGAAUGUACCGAGUAGUGGGGGAUAACCAAUCGAAAGAUUGGCUAAUACCGCAUACGUCCUGAGGGGGAAAGCAGGGGAUCUUCGGACCUUGCGCUAUUUGAGCAGCCAAUAUCUGAUUAGCUAGUUGGUGGGGUAAAGGCCCACCAAGGCGACGAUCAGUAGCGGGUCUGAGAGGAUGAUCCGCCACACUGGGACUGAGACACGGCCCAGACUCCUACGGGAGGCAGCAGUGGGGAAUUUUGGACAAUGGGGGCAACCCUGAUCCAGCCAUGCCGCGUGUCUGAAGAAGGCCUUCGGGUUGUAAAGGACUUUUGUUAGGGAAGAAAAGAGAAGUGUUAAUACCAC